GCCCGGAAAGCAAAUUUGGGGUAAAAGAAAAAAACUUAUUCCAACUAGUAAGCCAUUUCCAAAUUCAACCAACAAAAAGGUACACAGUGAGAUUUGCUUAGCAAUUAUGUUUCUUUAAUUGAUUUUUAAAUUAGGAAAAGGUUGAAGGAAAAACUUCGUUCUCUAGUAGUUUUUUAGUUAAAAUCCUUUUUGUGCAAAUUCAUUUUUGAAAUUGUUUACUUCAUUUUCGAAUGGUUCCGUUCACAUUUGUUGUUCAUGUGAGAUGUUAUAUUUACCAGUUACUGCAUUAUAUUUACCACUAUUGCAAGAUGUUUGUUUAGGAAUUACUACUGUUUUGUUUAUCUGGAAUGUUGUGUGGGAGUCCAUCAGGAAUUGCUGGUCUGCAGUAAAUUUAUCAGGCUAGGUGAUGAACAUUAAUGAAUCAGAAAAUGUUUUGCAUGCAUGGUGAAUGUUCUGACAGUUUUAACAGUUGUGAUGUGGUGUUUUCACUUCCACACAUCAUGUAGAGUUUGGUGAUCUAAAACAAUGAACAUGGAAAAAUCACCUGUGCCCACGCUGGCGAUGAUACGUGUACUGAAGGACUUCAGGCUAUCUUUAUAAUUUUUUAAUAGUUUUGCAUUUAUUGAUGAGUCCGCAAGCUCUUAGCUGAUUUCCUCCUUUAGAUACCGCCUGUCGACGAUUUGGCAGCCUCACACAAUUAAAGAACGUAUGCCAAAAAGCCAAAGUGAGCUCUUCCGAGCAGAAAAGUGACGUCGUAUCCAUUUAAUUGAAAAUAGGCACAAGAUAACGCACAAUUGGCGUGCUUAUCUCAGUGGAGAAAUUUUGCCGUGGAACUUAAAACCGAAAUACCAUUGCAGCUGUUAAAAAAAAGAAGUGUAUUACCAUACAGGUGUUGACUAGCUAACAAUCCAGAGAUACGUCAACUUGCGAAAUUUCUAGAUGUGUGUGAAGCGCAAUCAGCAUCCUUGUUGAACUGUGAACCCAAAUCAUGUAUUUUCCUAGAAAUAUCUAGGUUUUUGGAUAAAUAAAUAAAAGA